rnacentral:piRNA from 1 species
UCUCAAAGCAUCACUACCUCAGCAAC